rnacentral:tRNA from 1 species
GUGUUCGUAGCUCAGUCGGCAGAGUCCCCGGUUGUGAUCCGGGCGGUCGCGGGUUCGAUCCCCGUCGGACACC